rnacentral:rRNA from 1 species
UGGCGGGUCUAAUAAUGCAGUCGAGCGAAUGGAUUGAGAGCUUGCUCUCAAGAAGUUAGCGGCGGACGGGUGAGUAACACGUGGGUAACCUGCCCAUAAGACUGGGAUAACUCCGGGAAACCGGGGCUAAUACCGGAUAACAUUUUGAACUGCAUGGUUCGAAAUUGAAAGGCGGCUUCGGCUGUCACUUAUGGAUGGACCCGCGUCGCAUUAGCUAGUUGGUGAGGUAACGGCUCACCAAGGCAACGAUGCGUAGCCGACCUGAGAGGGUGAUCGGCCACACUGGGACUGAGACACGGCCCAGACUCCUACGGGAGGCAGCAGUAGGGAAUCUUCCGCAAUGGACGAAAGUCUGACGGAGCAACGCCGCGUGAGUGAUGAAGGCUUUCGGGUCGUAAAACUCUGUUGUUAGGGAAGAACAAGUGCUAGUUGAAUAAGCUGGCACCUUGACGGUACCUAACCAGAAAGCCACGGCUAACUACGUGCCAGCAGCCGCGGUAAUACGUAGGUGGCAAGCGUUAUCCGGAAUUAUUGGGCGUAAAGCGCGCGCACGUGGUUUCUUAAGUCUGAUGUGAAAGCCCACGGCUCAACCGUGGAGGGUCAUUGGAAACUGGGAGACUUGAGUGCAGAAGAGGAAAGUGGAAUUCCAUGUGUAGCGGUGAAAUGCGUAGAGAUAUGGAGGAACACCACUGGC